AUCUAGCUGACGAGUCCCGAAUAGGACGAAACGCGUGUCCUAGAU
rnacentral:hammerhead_ribozyme from 1 species